UGCUAUUUUCACCCAGGCCCAAAUAGACACUCUUUAUUUUGAAUAGUCUCUGGGUAAUAGCAGGUUUACAGAGUGGUCCAGUGGUUCAUCUGGAAUAACGCUAGAAGCUGGAGGUACAUGCAUUUGUGAACUGGCCUCUUACAGGGUCAUGGACCAGGGCCCCAUUGGACAGCCCGAGGGAGCCAACAUCAGAGGCCCACCUUGGGGAAAACAAGUAUGUAAUUGGCCCUCUGUCUCAUAUCCAGCUCAAGU